rnacentral:rRNA from 1 species
GGGUCAGUAGGUUGGUCGUGCCACCGGUACGUACUGGUCUCACUGGUUCCUCCUUCCUGAAGAACCGUAAUGCCAUUAAUUUGGUGUUGCGGGGAAACAGGACUGUUACUUUGAAAAAAUUAGAGUGUUUAAAGCAAGCUAACGCUUGAAUACAUUAGCAUGGAAUAAUGAAAUAGGACGAUCGAUCCUAUUUUAUUGGUUUCUAGGAUUGACGUA